rnacentral:rRNA from 1 species
AUUGAACGCUGGCGGCAUGCCUUACACAUGCAAGUCGAACGGUAACAGGUCUUCGGAUGCUGACGAGCGGCGAACGGGUGAGUAAUCCAUCGGAACGUGCCCGAGAGUGGGGGAUAACGAGGCGAAAGCUUUGCUAAUACCGCAUACGAUCCCAGGAUGAAGGCAGGGGACCGCAAGGCCUUGCGCUCACGGAGCGGCCGAUGGCAGAUUAGGUAGUUGGUGGGAUAAAAGCGUACCAAGCCGACGAUCUGUAGCUGGUCUGAGAGGACGACCAGCCACACUGGGACUGAGACACGGCCCAGACUCCUACGGGAGGCAGCAGUGGGGAAUUUUGGACAAUGGGCGCAAGCCUGAUCCAGCCAUGCCGCGUGCAGGAUGAAGGCCUUCGGGUUGUAAACUGCUUUUGUACGGAACGAAAAGACUCUGGUUAAUACCUGGGGUCCAUGACGGUACCGUAAGAAUAAGCACCGGCUAACUACGUGCCAGCAGCCGCCGUAAUAC